AUGUCAGUGUGUAAUAAUAACGCUAUGUUAAAAUUUUGUGUAAUUUAUUGUGUAUAUUUCUUGAGCUACAACCCAGUUUUGUUAAUCGAGAAGAAGAAGAAGAAGAAGAAGAAGAAGAAGGGGGUGAACACAGUAAAUGCUGAGAUGAUCACCUACAUGUGCCCUGGAGGGGACGGGCCUGUAAAACCCUUUUUAGAAAAGAUGAGCAGGGCAUAUGAGUACAUUAUUAAAAAUUCUCAAAGGAUGCAAUUGCCAGAAGCUCCCAGCCCAUCUCCAACUCCACAGUCUACCACCUCUCCCUCCCAACCCUCUUCUCCUACUCAUCCUCCAGACCCUUCCACCUUUCUCCCAUCUACUUCUCAUCCCCAAAUGGACUAUGAGGAGGAGACUUACACCCUAACCCUCAUCCCUGUCCAGCCUCCAAGCACCGCCUCAGCAUCUCUCCCUCAAAACACCAUGACUGAAAGGAAGAGAAGAGGUAAAAGUGAGCUGGCUGCCUUGUUCCUCAUGGUGAUCCUAAUUUGACCUUCGCUAGACUAUCUUUAAGAAGAUAAGUCUGUGUGGAAAGGACUGUUCAAACGGAAGCCAAACAAAAAAGAGGCUGAAGAAAAGGGUUUGGAUGAGACUGACAAGUCAGAC
rnacentral:lncRNA from 1 species